UGAUACGGACCGGACUGUGGAGGAGCGC
rnacentral:sRNA from 1 species